GGCACGGGGGGCCUACGGGGAGGCAGCAGUGGGGGAAUAUUGGACAAUGGGGGCAACCCUGAUCCAGCAAUGCCGCGUGAGUGAAGAAGGCCUUAGGGUUGUAAAGCACUUUCUAGUGGGGAGAAAGGUGGUUCACCUAAUACGUGAGCUAAUUGAUGUUACCCACGAGAAGAAGCACCGGCUAACUCCGUGCC
rnacentral:rRNA from 1 species